rnacentral:rRNA from 1 species
CCGCCCGUCACGCUAUGGAAGCCGCUAACACCUGAAGUCGCUGAGCUAACCGCAAGGAGGCAGGCGCCGAGGGAGUGGCUGGCGAUUGGGGUG